rnacentral:rRNA from 1 species
AAAUUAGCUUUCUUUAUUUUAAAAAAAAAAUUUAAUUUUUAGAUCAAAAAGUCUAAAUUUUUGUAUAGGACGAGAAGACCCUAUAGAACUUUAUUUUUCUUAAAUUAUUUUUUUAUUUGUAAAUAAUUUUUAUCUAAUUUAACAAAAAUUUUGUUGGGGUGACAGAAAAAUAUUAAUAACUUUUUUUAUAUUUAUCAUUUAUUUAUGAUUUUUUGAUCCUUUAUUAGGGAUAAUAAGAUUAAGUUACCUUAGGGAUAACAGCGUUAUUACUUUAGAGAGUUCAUAUUGAUAAAGUAGUUUGCGACCUCGAUGUUGGAUUAAAAUUAGUUUCAGGAGCAGAAAAUUGAUUUACUAGGUC